rnacentral:rRNA from 1 species
UACGUAGGGUGCAAGCGUUGUCCGGAAUUAUUGGGCGUAAAGAGCGUGUAGGCGGCCCGAUUAGUCCGCUGUGAAAGUCCAGGGCUCAACCCUGGAAUGCCGGUGGAUACUGUCGGGCUAGAGUGCGGAAGGGGCAACUGGGAAUUCUUGGUGUAGCGGUGAAAUGCGUAGAUAUCAAGAGGAACACCUGCGGCGAAGGCGGGUUGCUGGGCCGACACUGACGCUGAGGCGCGAAAGCCAGGGGAGCGAACGGG